UUCAAUGGCGGCUAUGCGUUGGGAGACCUUCGGGUCUGCCGGGUUCCUGUAUCCUCGGUCUUGCACCCCUGCGCAUAGCUGCCACCUAU
rnacentral:antisense_RNA from 18 species